rnacentral:rRNA from 1 species
CACACCUCUGAUCAGGGAAGACUACCCGCUGAGUUUAAGCAUAUCACUAAGCGGAGGAGAAGAAACUAACCAGGAUUUCCCUAGUAACGGCGAGCGAACCGGAA